rnacentral:rRNA from 1 species
UAGGGAAUCUUCGGCAAUGGACGAAAGUCUGACCGAGCAACGCCGCGUGAGUGAAGAAGGUUUUCGGAUCGUAAAACUCUGUUGUUAGAGAAGAACAAGGACGUUAGUAACUGAACGUCCCCUGACGGUAUCUAACCAGAAAGCCACGGCUAACUACGUGCCAGCAGCCGCGGUAAUACGUAGGUGGCAAGCGUUGUCCGGAUUUAUUUGGCGUAAAGCGAGCGCAGGCGGUUUCUUAAGUCUGAUGUAAAAGCCCCCGGCUCAACCGGGGGGGAUCAUUGGAAACUGGGAGACUUGAGUGCAGAAGAGGAGAGUGGAAUUCCAUGUGUAGCGGUGAAAUGCGUAGAUAUAUGGAGAAACACCAGUGGCGAAGGCGGCUCUCUGGUCUGUAACUGACGCUGAGGCUCGAAAGCGUGGGGAGCAAACAGG